GGGUCACAGAGGCCCAAAUGGCCACCCUGGGCCGCUGGGCCCAUCCUGGGAGAAGGGCAAACUUGGAGUCCUGGGAUUGCCAGGCAGGAAGAUAAGGACCAAAGGACAUCUCUGGAGGUGAUGGCCCAGCUUGCCCUCUGGGUGAACAGG